AAUUGAAAUUGACAAAACAUGGAAUUUUAACUUAUAAAGUGAUCAACCACUUUUCUUUUUAUUCCAUGCAAAUGUGAAAAAAUAUGGCUCAAAUUCUCAUGUUCAUUUAUGUUUUGAUCAUCUUUCUUUCUCUAUUUCUUGUUGUAACUAACGCUCGUCCGUGCAAUAAUGUCGAUGAUUGUCGAAAACAUAUGUGUACUCCUUAUGGUCAACUUGUGAGGUGCAUUAAUUCAACUUGCGAGUGUGUGUUAGAUUAAUAAUUAUAUUGAAAAUAAUUAUAUGUCACAUAUAAUCUCAUUUUCUUCUUCUUCAAUCACCUCCACCUAAGAGGGAUGAUUUAGAGUCAAUUUGUUUACCAGAAAAUUUCCCUCUAAAUCGUUUUUCUCCUUAAAAAAAGUGAUUUUCCUAUAUAUGUAGAUUUUCUUUCGUGAUUUCGUCGUCUUAACGUGCGUUGUUUGUUCGUCGUCUUUGUGCGGUCUUGUUUGUCUUUUCUGUCAUGUUAGCAUGUUUGUUCAUUCAGAUUGUCAAAUCAACUUCGAUCCGAUGAAAAUCCAAUCAAUGGCUUUGUUUUCGUCAACCAUACUGAUCCAGAGACAUGAGUACUUUGGAGACUUGAAUAUAUUCGUAUUUGUAGAUUUAUGUACUUUAUCGUUUUAUGCUAUUAACAUGAAUGAAUGAUGUGAGUUUGCUUGCAAAUUUAUCCUAUUUGUUUUUAGCAAAUUUGUAUUUUUUUAAUAUACUAUAUCAAUUUAAAUGAAUGAACUAAUAAAAACCUUGUGCAUUUGAACA